UACGGAGGGGGCAAGCGUUGUUCGGAAUUACUGGGCGUAAAGGGCUCGUAGGCGGCCAACUAAGUCAGACGUGAAAUCCCUCGGCUUAACCGGGGAACUGCGUCUGAUACUGGAUGGCUUGAGUUCGGGAGAGGGAUGCGGAAUUCCAGGUGUAGCGGUGAAAUGCGUAGAUAUCAGGAGGAACACCGGUGGCGAAGGCGGGUCUCUGGGCCGUAACUGACGCUGAGGAGCGAAAGCGUGGGGAGCGAACAGG
rnacentral:rRNA from 1 species